UAGGUUUAAUUAGCAUCAGCACAAACCUGGUCAGCAAACAACGGCAUUCGGUGCCAAAGAACGCAGCACCAGUGGAAGUUUAGUUCCUCGCGAAGCACGGCAGGAAGUGGAUUUUAAUUCCAUCGCAAGAUUCCAUCCAUCGACUGGAUGGGAUGCGCGAGAGCAAAAUAGGUGAAACAAGGUGGCCAAAGCGAAAGAGGGAGAAUUUGUUUUGAUGCUCGUCAUCGCCGUGUCGCACGCGGUGUGUUGUUCGGUGCAGUAGUCGUGUGAUGCUGCGAUGCUGGAGUGCGUACGUGUUUGUGCGCGAGUGUGUUGAUUAAAGAGAUCAUUUUCGCUACGAGGCGUCAAGGUGCUUCGAAAUCACAGUAAGCUGCGAAGCAAGAACCUCGAUUGUGCAUUUGAUUGCUUUCGAAAGAGUGUCGAAAGAGGAACAGGAACGCUGCAAGAGGCGGCCGAUCAUCGACAUUUGGAACAGGUCCAUUGCGUUCGUCUAAGGAAAAGUCCAUCCUUCGAGUUACGAACCCCGCAGCUAAAGAUAACGAAGGUUGUUCUUGCACGCCACCCUAAUCCCCGCCCAACUGCCGGGUUGCAAAAUCACACCGAGGAUAAUCGAAAAAGGUUGCUCCGUUUGUGUGUUGCUGACAAACAUCAC